rfam:Branchiostoma floridae genomic scaffold BRAFLscaffold_187, whole genome shotgun sequence.
CUACAGGCUGUCCUCACAGCCACCCCCUCAUCAAUGUGUCUGAUAU